GGCAAAACACAGUAAGUGAAGGCGGGGACACAGAGAUAUGUAAGUGGAACACUGAAGCAGGCUUUUGUUCUGAAGGUGCUUGCCUAACUAGGUGAAUUUGAGAUUUUUGUGAAUGUCUCAUGGGAAAAGGGAACACCCCAGAACAACCUCAAUAAGAGGAAUUUAGCAGGAGUUUCUCCUUCCAUAAAGGUGGGAUUCAAAGGACUACAUUCUCAUGAUAAGAGUAAUCCAGAAAUCCAGAAAUAAACUUGUCCCCUUCUCCCUUGAGUGUACGGUUAAUGGAGAUAGAUCCUGGGAUCAGCUAAUUACAAAGACGUUUUUCACAUAGUACAUCCAGCAGGUCAUCCAAAAGUCUUGUGAAACGCAAGAGAAUUCUUGGUUAUAAGGAAUCAUCCCUUGAAUUGCAACACUCUAGAAUUCCUGACCAAAUUCCAGUAGCAUGUCUUUUUAAUUGAGAAAGACAAAAACUCAAAUUUCCAAAAUGUCCCCAUGUAAACCAUUGGCCCAUUCUAUACUGUCAAGUUGACAGGGACCAAUUUCUGAAAGACUUUAAUAGAUUUUACCUCAAGGGCAGGAGGGAAAACAUUGAAAACUAUAAGCAGAGAAGUACCAUGACCAUUUUGUACUCUAAAAAAAUCCCUCUGACUGCAUGAAGAAUGGAUUAGAUGGAGCCAACAUGGAGGAAGGAAUGCUGGGUGUGAGGCAGCUGUGGAAGUCCAAAGGAGAGAUGACAGUAAUCUGUACUGACAAGGGGCACUAGGUUUUAGAGGCAGAGCUGCCUUUCGGCUGAGCUGGAGGAAACUUAGUUCUUUCCACUAUUUAGUUUUCUCUUGCUGAGGUGAGACCUUGGGCAAGUUAUUCCAAUCUCUGCCAGCCUUAGGGUCCUCAUCCACAAAAUGAAGAUAAUACUAAACGGAAUGUGUCCCAAGUAUGUACACACAUGGACAGUUUGCAGUUUUCUUAGCCAUGAUCAAGAGGUUAUUAGCAGUAGAGAUG
rnacentral:lncRNA from 1 species